ACACUAAACCAUUGUACAAAAAGUUACUUCAAUUGUAACGGACAAUGGACUUUAGUUAUUGGAUCUAUUACCUACACGUGUAUUUACUUCAAUUGCAGCAUCAGGAAUUUUCUUUUUUAUAGUGACACCUGUCUGCCUUUUUAAUUAUGUAAGACAUCUGGCUUUUACUUCACUUCUAAUUCCAUUCUCCUUCACCGUUCUUAGUCUAUGGUUCUUUCAGUUUCUCUGCCUUCCUCUCACUUACAUUCCUAUCUUCAGUAUCAGUAUACUCCUCAGAUUUGCACAUGUAUCAUGGCUAAUUAGUGCAGAAUUAAACCCUUUUAUGGAAAAUUUAAGCAGAAAAAUUUGUAUCGGCUGAGCAAAGGCUUUUCGAGAAGAAAGUCUUUACUUUGGUGAUUUUGAGGCCACUGUUCAAGACUUGGAUAAUUAUGUUGGGUAUUAUUGUCAUCCACACACUAAGGAUGCAAGGGGAAAGGACUUCUGGACAAGGUGAUACUAGCAUAGAAAGAAGCUCUGAUGACCUUGCUCGCGACUAUAUAAGCGUCCGGAACAUUUAUCUGUUCCAUCCGUGACAUCUUAUUCUUGGAUGAUAGUGAUUGAAGUGGUGCAUCUGCCGAUAUAAAUUCAAGUCUGUGAUUUUUGGCGCACUCACAUCAUUUUAAAUUCUUACUUUUGAUCAUCCUGAAAGGUAAAAUAAAGCUAAAUCAGACUUAGCUUCAUAUUGACUUUAUGAAAAGCAAAAUUCUCAGUUCCAAAUUUAAUGCAAGCAGAAUGGGAAUUUCUUAGCUACUGUGAUUUACAUAUGCCAGGAAUAAAGGCAUGUUCAAUGUAUUUCACAAUGCAAUAUUGAUAUCUGUAGUUUGUUAAACAUCUUUCAAGAUGUUAUAUUAACAUUUUCAUAUGCUUUGUAGGAUGCAAGAACUACACUUUCAUCCUACACCAUAUGGUUCUGAUACUAAAUUUAGUAAUCUUUUGUAAAAGCUGCAAAUCUGCUAAGUGAUGUUUCCUAGAGAUGAUUCUGGUUGAAUCUAACUUUUGUCUGCACAGUUUAUGAGAGCUACACGUUCUCUUCGCAUGGAGUUUACUCUUCGCUCAAGGAUUCUGUUGACAAUGACAUGACCAUUUAUAAUUCUUGGAGUUACGCUUGAUGGAAAGCGAUUUUCAUCGAAGACGGCGGAGGAUAAUCAGGUGUUCAUUCAGUGUAAGAAUGCCUCUUGCUUAUCUUGUUCCUUUGUUCAUGUUAUAUUAUGGAAAGAACUAUUAGUACCUAGGUCUCCAGGAUAUUGUAUGCAUGGUUGGUUUUCAAUAAAUAAAAAGAUCAAUGGGAAUUCUGUGUUUCUAGGAAUACUCUAGCUGUCUCUGGUUUGAUGUUGAUUCAAUAUGGUGGAACCAUCUCAAAGGCAGAGGGUUGAGCUUCCGUCUUUUCUUCUAAUCAUCCUAAAUCCUGAAGAGAAAUUUGAACAGGGGUUAAUGGCCCUUGUAGAUCGAUCCAUUUACAUCUUCUCGGUGUCCAUAUCAAAUCAUUUAUUGUUUUAAUGGACAGUAGGUUAAUCAUGCCUACUUAAUAACAUAAUGUAGAUAGUGGGACAAGCUUGUAAUAACCAGAAGUAUUGUAAAAAAGAUGAAGUAACUUGAGUCUCUGGUUGUUCGAGAGGCACCGUCCUUAAUUCCUUAUUUGCCUUGUUGGCACAUAUAUUGUAAAGAAAACAACAACAUUAUGCCCAUGCUGCAUAAAAAAGUAUUUUGAUUAUAAAUAUUUAUUUUGAUUAUAAUACAAAGCGUUGUGUUUAUUAUCAACAAUAGAUACUUAAAUGUUAAUGUUGGUCGCGUCGGUGUCAGGCCCGUGCAACUUGCACGGGCAUCAUCCCUCUAGUAUGACAUAUAAAACUUAUACGAUUGUCAUACCGUUAUUAUACAAAGUGGAUUAUGUUAUUGUACCUUUUGUUGGAGUUUUCAAAAAUAUUGCUGCAACAUCUGAAGAGUUGGAACUCAUAAAAUUACCGGAAAAAAGGGAUUAUGAAAUGGAAGAACGAGGAGACAGUGCAUUGCAUCGUCGUAAUCUCCCGUUUAUACCUGAAAAUUCUGGAGUAGUGAAGAAUAAGCCGGACCAAGCUAUAUUGUGGGAAGUACAACGGUUGAGAACUGCAAUUGCAAAUGUUUAAAGUGAUUUAGAUGCAUUCAAGACAAAGGUAGUAAUUCUCUAGAAAUGUAUUACAGUAACUUUUAUUGAUGUUUAAUAUUUUGUAGUAUUGUGCUUGUUUCUCAGGUUGCAGGCGACUUUGUAUCGAUUAAGGAAUUUUUCACACAAUCAAUCAACAAAGUCUUGGAUGAAAUUAGGACAUUUGAAUCCCGUCAAUCCAAAAAAGUUGAUGUUUCUAUUUCACCAAUGUAUACAGUUAUUAGACCAUCGAGUAAUGAUCGCCGCCACCACAACCGAUACAACAAUGCUUGUUUUCCAGACCACAAUGAAGAGUAGGUUGAGUACGUAACAGUCAAUGACAUUAUAAAAUAAUAAGGUUAUUAUACUAUUUCAUUAACUAAGCACCCUCUUUCAGUACAAUAAACAUAAAGCAUCAUACAAGUACCAUAUAAUUCCUUAUCAACUAUAAUACACUUUUUAGUUUUAUAACUUUUAUUUGCGUAUAUAAAGAUGUUGAUGUCAAUGUUGCACAAGUAAAUAAGCCAAGCGGAGACAUUGCUCCACCCCCAGAGGUUGGAAAUGUAGAAAAUACAGAUGCUGGUGACUCUGUCGUGGAUGUGGAUACUUCGGGCUUUGAUGCCCAAAUUGAAAAAAUAGUUGUUAUUCUUGAUGAUUUUGAGUUGCCUGCGACCCCUUCUCAAAUUAUUCUUACAAUUUGAAGAGCAUUUAACCCCUGAGAAAAAGGGAAGAUUGAAGAUUCCUAGAAAGAAUGCAAAGUCCCCACAUACACAAGAUUUCGACUCCGGUUGUAGCAGCUCCGUAGGUCCUCCUAUUUUUCCAAUCAAACAUCCAUUCGCACAUGUUAUUGGAAUAGUUGUUGACCCCAAUUUGAUAGAAGAAUUUAGAGAAUGGUUAUACAAUGGGACACAUAAGAGAUCAUCCAGGCGAAAAUCUCCUUAUCCGGUGGAAGUUAACAAGCUUGAGAGGCCAUUUGAUUUGGGUGUUGCAAGGGUAGACAAGAAAGAAUGGUUUUACAAUUUGGCACACGCAGGGCAAGUAUUGAAUGACACGGUGCGUUGAUAUUUAUCGAUCACUCUUAGCUUUUAUAUAAUAAAUGUAUGCAACUAUAAUUUCAGUUUAUUUGCUUAGUAAAUAACUAAACCAUUCUUGUUUUUUAAAAUUUUAUCUUAUGUUCAGCCUAUCGAUGUUAUUCUUUACUAUCUAAGGAAGAGAUAUAAGUAUGGCCCAUCCAAUAACGUCAGGUUCACAACUAUUGAUUGUUGUUUCAAGACAAGGGUCGAACAAGUAUAUGAUUUGUAUGUGACUACUCAACAGGAUAGUAGGUGCCACGAUCCUAAACCCGAACCCGGUCGUGAUGAUGCCUCUCGUGAAGACAAGGCCAGCCAACUAUUCCCAAUUCGAUG